rnacentral:rRNA from 1 species
AGUCGAGCGGCAGCGGGAAGUAGCUUGCUACUUUGCCGGCGAGCGGCGGACGGGUGAGUAAUGUCUGGGAAACUGCCUGAUGGAGGGGGAUAACUACUGGAAACGGUAGCUAAUACCGCAUAACGUCGCAAGACCAAAGAGGGGGACCUUCGGGCCUCUUGCCAUCAGAUGUGCCCAGAUGGGAUUAGCUAGUAGGUGGGGUAACGGCUCACCUAGGCGACGAUCCCUAGCUGAUCUGAGAGGAUGACCAGCCACACUGGAACUGAGACACGGUCCAGACUCCUACGGGAGGCAGCAGUGGGGAAUAUUGCACAAUG